GAAAAUAUAAUAGGUUCAGAUCUGAAAUCAUGGCACUCGGGCCCUAGUGACAAGCAUUAAGCAUAGCAAAGUCAUACCAACAUCAAUCUUAGAACAUAGUGGGUACUAGGAAUCAAACUCUAACAAAACUAACUCGAUUACAUGAUAAAUCUCAUCCAACCCAUCACCGUCCAGCAAGCCUACGAUGGAAUUACUCAUGCACGGCGGUGAGCAUCAUGAAAUUGGUGAUGGAGGAUGGUUGAUGAUGACGACGGCAAUGGAUUCCCCUCUCCGGAUCCCCGAACGGACUCCAGAUCAGCCCUCCCGAGAGAGUUUAGGGCUUGGCGGCGGCUCUGUAUCGUAAAACGCAAUCAAUCCUUAUCUCUGAUUUUUUUUCUCCCCAAACGUGAAUAUAUGGAGUUGGGGUUGAGGUCGGUGGAGCAACAGGGGACCCACGAGACAGGGGGGCGCGCCCAGGGGGUAGCCAUGCCCCCCACCCUUGUGGACAGGGUGUGGGCCCCCUGGCUUUGAUUCUUUCGCUUGUAUUUUUAAUUAAUUCCAAAAAUAUUCUCCGUGAAGUUUCAGGUCAUUCCGAGAACUUUUAUUUCUGCACAAAAAUAACACCAUGGCUAAUUCUGCUGAAAACAGCGUCAGUCCGGGUUAGUUCCAUUCAAAUCAUGCAAGUUAGAGUCCAAAACAAGAGCAAAAGUGUUUGGAAAAGUAGAUACGAUGGAGACGUAUCAUUACCCGUUGCGAAUUAUCUUAUCACAAAACUAUCUGCUACCGAUAAUUUUAGUGCUUGCAGAGAAUACCUUGCUGAGAACCACUCGUCAUUUUCUUCUGCUCCUCAUUGGGUUCGACACUCUUACUUAACUAAAGGACUAUGAUAAAUCCCCUAUACUUGUGGGUCAUCAAGACUCUUUUCUGGCAUCGUUGCCGGGGAGUGAAGCGCCUUUGGUAAGUGGAAUUUGGUAAGGAAACAUUUAUAUAGUGUGCUGACAUUUACUGUCACUUGUUGCUAUGGAAAAUUAUCCUUUGAGGGGUUUGUUCGGGGUAUCUUCACCCUGACUGUAAGAGCAAAGAGUUUCCCCUCAACCUACUGAAUCUACUGAAAAUAUUUAAUAUGAAACUCCUUCGGCUAUGAUUGAGAAACAGCUAGCUAAUCCUUAUGCAAGAGAUGAACAUUACAUCCUUAUAUGCAUCUAAUCUAUGUGGAUGAAGUUUAUGGAUUAUUUAAGCUUGUAGGUUUGCCCAAGGAUGAAGUCAAGAAGAAGGUCUUCCUUUUAUCUUUGAAGGAGAAGGCACUGACAUGGUAUAGGCUAUGCGAGACUCCAUUUGUACUAAGUGGGAACACUACUUGUGCAUCCAAACUCCUUAAACCCAAGUUGUGCCAAAUGAUUCCACCAUACCUACCUAUAUGCGGUAUUUUUGUGUCGUUCCAAGUAAAUUUGUAUGUGCCAACUCUAAUUUUCAAAACAAAUUUCCUUUUUGUGUGCCCGUACCACUCAUGAAGAGGCAGGAGGUGGCCCAUAUUUUCAAUGCUAGAUAUUUUAUUCUUAAGAUGAGUGUUUAUUCACUUGUCAUUGCACGGGAGUGUGGCAAGGUAAUAGCGUUGCCCAGUCCCGAAAUGAAAAAAAAUUAUGUUGUUUAAUAAUAAAUUCCUUGGACAGUGUUGGUAUGGAAGGCACCCUUGGAUACGGCUAGCCGUGGUUUGUGAAAGAAUGGUGGAAAAAGGAACAAACUUUAUUUUAUGUUUGGGAACCGCCUAUGAUUUAUCUAGCAUGGAAAGUAUUGGAAAUUCUUGGUCAUUUUUGUUGAAGGUAAAAGCAUGCCACCCAAAAUAAUUUGAUCUCUCAAUUUAAGAUUUGAUCUCUGGCACCUCUACAAAUCUCUUCUUCCCUCUGCGAAGGGCCUAUCUAUUUACUUUAUGCAAUUUUUAUUUUUAUUGAGUCUCCAUCUUCUCUUAUAAAGCACCAAUUAGGAAACACUAUUAUCAUACUUGUGCAUUGGGCAUAGUUAAUAUUUGAGCGUGUUUCAUGAAUGGAUCAAUGAUUGAGCAUGAUGGGCUAUGGAUAGCUUUCUUUAGUGUUGAUAUUUUGAAAGACUUGGUUGCUUGUUGAUAUGCUUGAGUAUUGAUGUCUUCAUGUCAAAUAUAGACUAUUGCUUUGAAUCAUCUAAAAGUCCAAAUGUCCAUGCUACAAAAGAAAAGAUUAUGAGAUGAACAUGUUAGGCAGCAUUCCACAUAAAAAAAAUUUAUCAUUUACUUACUCGAGGACGAGCAGGAAUUAAUCUUGGUGAUGUUGAUACCUCUCCAACGUAUCUAUAAUUAUUUACUGUUCCAUGAUGUUAUAUUAUCAAUCUUGAAUGUUUUAUAUUCAUUUCAUAGCAACUUCAUAUCAUUUUUUGGGACUAACCUAUUGACAUAGUGCCCAGUGCCAGUUGUUGUUUUUUGCUUAUUUUUUACUUCGCAGAAUAUCUAUACCAAACAAAGUCCAAAUACCAAGCUAGAUGGCUUCUUCUCUCUUUUUGAUCUUCAAUACAAUGUUCUUGGAGAUCUAUUUGAUGUAACUCUUUUUUGCGGUGUGUUUGUUGGGAUCCGAUGAAUUGUGAGUUUAUGAUCAGGUCUAUCUAUGAAUAUUAUUUGAGUCUUUGUUCAACUCUCUUAUGCAGGAUUGUCAUAGCCCAGUAUUUCUUCUCUGAAACUUUGGUUUGGUUUGGUUUGCCCAACUAGAUCGAUUUUUCUUGCCAUGGGAAGAGGUGCUUUGUGUUGGGUUCGAUCUUGCGAUGCUCAAUCUCAGUGAUAGAAAGAGACAUGACACGCAUGUAUCGUUUCCAUUAAGAAUACAAGGAUGGGGUCUCUUCCUGCAUGAAUAGAUCUUGUCUACAUCAUGUCAUCGUUCUUAUUGCAUUACUCUGUUUCUUCAUGAACUUAAUACACUAGAUGCAUACUCGAUAGCGGUUGAUGUGUGGAGUAAUAAUAGUAUAUGCAGGAAGGAGCCGGUCUACUAAUCUUGGACGUGAUGCCGAUAUACAUGAUCAUUGCCUUGGAUAUCGUCAUAAUUAUUUGCUUUUCUAUCAAUUGCCCAAUAGUAAUUUGUUUACCCACCGUAUGUUAUUUUCUUGGGAGAAGACUCUAGUGAAAUCUACGGCCCCUGGGUCUAUUUUCUAUCAUAUUGUUUCAGAUAUAUUAAUCCAAAAAUUCAAAAAUACCUUGCUGCAUGUUUUCUUUAUUUAUUUUAUUUUGUGUUUUUGUCAGAUCUAUUUAUCCAAUCUCAUACAAUUUAAUAUAUCUCAAUAUCGAGGAGGGAUUGACUACCCCUCUUACGCGUUGGGUUGCAAGUUUUUGUUAUUUGUGUGAAGGUGUUGUUUACAUAGUUUGGUGGAUCCUCCUACUGGAUUGAUACCUUGGUUUCAUAACAGAGGGAAAUACUUACUGUUGUUGUGUUGCAUCAUGAUCUCCUCUUCGGGGAAAUACCAACGCAAAUACAAGUAGUCAACGGGUAGGAGGGUCUUCCUUCCUCGGAUACCCCUAUGCCCGUCUGACAACGACAUGUUUCCAUUCAAGUUCAAGAGGAAGUAGUUUCUUCUCAGGCUUGGCUUUGCUAUGACGAUUAACAAGCCACAAGGACAGACCAUCCCAAUUGCUAGCGUGUACCUACCUAAUCAUGUGUUCUCUCAUGGUCAACUCUAUGUCGCAUUGUCUCGAGCCACCGCGAAGAGAAACAUAAAGAUCCUCUUUGAGAAAUAGAAGGAGAAGGGCAAGGAGACCAAUAAAUCAAAGAAACGAAAAAGACCUACCCUGUCCUUACAGACCUCGAUGAAGAACAUCGUCUAUAAGGAAGUCCUUACAGGCUGAAGUCUGCACUUAAGGAACUUAUGUAACUUGCAUGAGUAUGACCAUGCGAAAGUGGUUAUGCGUGAUGGUAGUGGCUAUGCAAUUAUUGCCUCUAUAAGUGUUAUUGGUUGUAGGUACAUUUCGGACUCCUUGGUGCCAUUGAUAUGCAUUUCAAUUAUAUAUAUAUAUAUAUAUAUAUAUAUAUAUAUAUAUAUAUAUAUAUAUAAUGUUUGACAUUUAACAUAUUUGCAUUUCUCAUUGACAAGCCCACCUAUCGUAUAAUAUCUCGUUUAUGACGUUGUUGCACUAACAUGAAGGUAAAUUGCUUUUUCCUUGGAGUUGUUACUCAGAGUUGUUGAUAGAAUCCAUUUAUUUAGUGAAAUAAACCUGCAUAUAAUAAACACUUUAACAUACUAAGCUUCAGCAACAAAGAUCUGCAUUUAUCAAACUUAUUAAGUAGCUUGCAUGAGUAUCAUCAUGUGAAAGUGUUUAGCAUGUUCGUAGGGACAUUGAAACUAUUGGUUCUAAAAGUGUAAUUGGUUGUUAACAUAUUUAAGACUUCACAUACAAGCAUUUCAUAGUGUGGUUCAAUAAUACUGCAAUGUUGUUGUAUUAAGUUGACUCUUAGGAGGAUAUCAUGUGCAUUCAGUAAUAUAUAAUGCCCAGAUUUCACAUAUGUGUGUGGGGCAUUGACAUUCCCAGCUGUCGUAUAAUAUCCAUUUUGCUCACCUAAGAUUGACGACAUAAAGGCACAUGGUAAUCCAUUACAUUUUGCUCAGUAAAAUUGACGAUAUAAAGGCACAUUGUGUUCUGGUCCAAUUUGCUCAUCUAAUACUAUUGACGAUAUAAAGGCAGAUGGUGAUCAUGCAAUAUUGUUGGGAGCCUAUCGAGAAUGUGGUUAAGUUCCUAUUUAUUGUCUGUUACUUUGAGUUGUUGUUCAGGUGAACUCAGGUUGGGAACUUGGAUACAGUAAUGUUGAGUUCUUGCCUUCUAUUACGGGAGCGUUGUAUUUUGCUGGAGAAUAAUGCGCAUCAACUCGAUUACUAGACCCAGUUUCACUCUGAAAAUGACCAAAGUACACUUGCUUUCAAUCGAGCAAGUACUCACAUGAUUUGACAUCUACAGGUAUGUCGAAUUGUAGAACCUAUUGGGUGAACUAUCUAAGUGGCCUUCUCCUUGGGAAUUUAAUGCAGUUCCCUUCCGGGCAUUAGGUUUAUAUAUGCGGUAGUAGUUAAUAGAAAAGGCACUCCUAUCUCCUGCUCGAGACAAGUCCAUCUACUAAGUUGGAAUAUAUUUCAGUUUUCUCUACAAAAUAUCAUUAAUUACCAGUUCUGUACUAAUUUCAUUUUGUUCUAUAAGGUUCAGGCAUUGGGAAGUAUGGCAUUAACAAAAACAUUAUUGUGUUCAAACUUGUAGGGAUUUAAAAAGAAAAGUUCCCAUACUGUACUUUAAGUAGAGUGAACUGUUAUUUGUAUUUCAUAAAGAUUGAAAUCAAUUGAACAAUCAUCCAUGCUUGUAAUAUGGUAAUGGGUAGUGUAACAAUCAGAUAUACUAGCAGUCCUAAUAUGAUGACCAGAUAAUAAAAACCAAACCAUACCAUAGUAUAAACAUCAUGUGAGAGGAUCAAUAAAAGAUUACUUAAAUGAUGAGUAGAGAUGUUUUACCAGUAUGCAGUAGCCCUGUAUUUGUACACUCCAUAAGCUCCAACCCCGGCAAAUAGAACUCCGAAUAAAAUAACCCACAUGAAGCUCCAGCCAACUGAAAACGCAGCAUGUUUGCCUGCAAGGAGUUUAUAAACAGCACUAGGCUAGCACUAGAGUACAAUAUCAAAUGAAACGGUGACAUAAUUUCAGUUGCUAGCCGAUAGCAUUAGGUUAAUAAAAUAUAGAGUGAAGUGCACUGUAGGUCCUCAAACUAUUUCAGGGGUGUCACGUAGGUCCUCGAACUAAGAAAAUCGUCAUCCAGGUCCUCGAAGUGCAGUAAGUGUGUCAUUCAGGUCCAAAAUCUCACUGACCCCCUCUAACUGGUCAGCUGGCGUCGUUAACCGUGAACACUAAACAGUAAACUGUGAACAGUAAAAUAGCGUUCCAGGUCCACCAUUUUCUGUAUGUGAUGAACAGUAAAAAUCAAAAAAAUUCUAAAAUUCUUUGGCAUCGAAGAUACCCCGGUGUGUGAACAGUAAAAAUGUUCACUGAUUCAAAAAAAUGGUCACGAAUAUGGAAAAUUUAUUCGUGACUUUAGAAAACUGUUCACAAACAAUAAAUGUUCGCGAACCACAAAUACUCAUGACUUUAAAAAAUGCUAGUGAACAUUUUUUGAAAGUAAAGUCACGAAUAAUUUUUUCAAAAUCAUCGUUAGUGAACAUAUUUUUAAAGUCACGAAUAUUUUUUCCAAACUCUUCGGUCGCUAACAUUUUUUGAAUUAAUGAACAUUUUUACUGUUUACGCACCAGGGUAUCUUCGAUGCCAAAGAAUUUCAGAUUUUUUUAUAUUUUUACUACUCAUCUUGCACUGUUCAUCGCAUACAGAAAUGGUGUUCAGAACUGAAAUGAAUGCUAUUUUAAUGCCAUACAUCAGACUCUAAACUAGAGUAUCCACAAAAGAUAGGUGAUGCGUUGGUUGCUGAAUAAACGAUGGUUAUCCAGUCAUUGAGGAAAAUUUAGUACAGCAACAUGCACAGUUAAAUGAUGAGAGUGGAGUGACUUUAUCUCUGGCAACUCCUGCUCAGUCUGCUAGUUCUGCAGAAUCUAUCAACAAUGGACCUCCGGUCAAUUCUCAUGCAGCUCUUAUGGCCCCACUAGAUCUGAAUUUACCUAUACUUGAUUUGAAUUUGGCUGUGAAUGUACCACUGGCUCAGGAAGUUGAAUUUUUUUCCUAUUGUUGCUGAUGUGAUGGAGCCUAUGCCAGUUUUAAAACAACCUCUGAUGAUUAAUCCUCCUAUUGCAAAGCAGCAUGUUAAUGUUGAAGUUGCUUCAGUAGAACCUAUUGCCAUGUUAGCGGAAGUUGCUGCACCUGUCUCUUCUCCAGUUGCAGUUCCACUUGCCAAUAUAUCUCAAGCAAAUGAUGAUGUUACAACUUCAUCUGCCCCUGUGCCUGUUCAGAGCGUUGUCCCAACAGUUACUAUUGAUGCCCAUACUACCAUUUUAGCCACUGAUUCCUUAGAGCUACAUGCUUCACAGCCUGGUUUGCAGAGCCAUGUCAUUGCACAUCAUGACACAGCAGUUGAAUCUUCUGAUAUUCAGAGAGAGAAUCCUUUAGAACAGCAAGAAGCACUUUCCUUAAACACACAUAUGGCAUUGCAAGAGCUAGCUAUCCUUGGGCGCUCUUUUGACAUGUUUCCUGAGGAUCAAGGUACUACUCCUCCUGCACCUCCAGGCUUCCCUUUUCCUAUCUACCAGGGACUGCAACAUAAUAUCACAGUUGGGGCUAUGCAAUUUAUGUCUGAUGUUGCAGAUCCUGUUUUUCAAAAGAUGCUCCCAGAGAUGACUGACACACAAAUUUUAGGUAAAGAAGGAGCAUCUGUUUGGAACAAGCAUUUUGCUCCCUCCUUAGAUUCAGACAAGGUGGUUCAGGUGCCCAUAGAGUGGACAAAAAAAUUAUCUCUUGCCUUACUCUCACCUGAUAGAUUUGAAUGGGAAAAAUAUCUACUCUCCUCCUAAAUAUGGACAUAUAUUCUGGAAGUCUCUGAAAGUACACUCUUUAAACCAUUUGUCAUUCCUGAUAAAUGCACUUCUGAUAAGGCCCCUGCAUGCAAGUUGCAGAUUAUGGAAACUGCAGAGGAGGCCCCCAAAGUGGUUUUAUCCACUCCUCAAGGGCAGGGAUCAUCCUUGUCAGUUGAUGUGCAACCUUCAAGUACAUCUGCAGUGCAUGCUAACAACAAGAGGAAGGAAAAGAUACCCAUGGUAGAAUCUGAGGUAAGGAGGAGUGAAAGAUUGCAGAUGAUAAACAAAGGAUAUAAGAGGAAUCUUUGUCUAUACAAAUUGUACGCCCUGUAAUGCUGAUCCGCCUAUAAUUGCUAACAAAGUGGUCAGAAACCUAAGUUCCUCCUUUUGAAAAAUUCAGGAAUUUAAUGGCCCUUCUGCUACUGUGCAGAAGAAGACAAAGAAGCAAAAGCCUGCAUUGGAGCCCACAAGGAGGUCCCAGAGGAAAGGGCAGGGAUCAAAGGAGCAGGACUAGUUGGAUUAGUUCAGCUUCUUGUUUCUAAUUACCAGGAUGCUCUUCUUCUGUAAUAGUGAUGCACUUAUUCAGUUUUGAACCUACAGUAUCAGUCUGUUAUGCUUGUAUGAAUCCUGGAUUAUUUGUUUUUGUUGAUGGUACCAGUAUCGUUAAACAGUUUUUAUGGCCAUCUCAAAGUGUUUAAAGCUCUAUCUCCCUAAAUGCAUAAUAGAAAUUGGGAUAUCCUCAAUUGGAAUGUGAGAGGCAUUAACGAUCCAACAAAGUGGCUAGCUAUUGCAAAUAAGAUUGCAGAAACCAAUUGUGAUAUUAUCUGCUUAUAAGAAACUAAGAGAGAAUCUUUUGACAGCCAGUACAUCAAACAUUUCUGCCCUAGGACACUGAACAAAUUUGUUUUUCUCCCUCGGUGGGUGCAUCAGGAGGACUAUUUGUAGGUUGGAAUAGUAACCUUUUUGUAGGAACCACCCUUUUCCAGAAUGUCUUCUCCAUUUCAGUUCAACUUAUCUCCACCCUCUCGGGUGCUUCAUGGGUACUCACUAAUGUCUAUGCUCCCUGUCAAGGAGAGGCCAGAGUUGAUUUCAUUCAGUGGUUCAAAAACAUUUACAUGACGGAUAGCACAGACUGGUUAGUGGUUGGAGAUUUCAAUUUCAUGAGAUAUCCAGACAACAGAAAUAGAGCAGGUGGUAAUGUGCAAGACAUGCUCUCUUUCAAUGAUGCCAUCGGAGCUCAGGCCCUUGUGGAAAUCCCCCUGGAAGGUAGAAACUUCACUUGGAGUAACAUGCGGGAAGCUCCUCUUUUAGACAACUUGGGUUGGGUUUUUUCUUCUGAAUCCUGGACUCUGCAAUACCCAAACACCUUGGCCAUCCCUCUUGCUAAACCCAUUUCAAAUCACUACCCCUGUGUCAUUAAAGUAGGGACUGCUAUUCCAAAAUCAACAAUUUUUAGAUUUUAAAAUUACUUGCUUAAUCACCAUGAUUUCAAAGAAAUAGUUCAGCAGAUUUGGAACGAGGGAGUUCAAGGAAAGGAUAGUGCUCAGAGACUUACUGCCAAAUUUAAGAGACUUAGGAAAGGGCUCAAGAUUUGGGCUAAAAUUAAAUCAAAUUUGGCCUCACUAAAUCAAAAUUCCAAUGGUGUGAUUUUGUUUCUUGAUACUGUGGAGGAAUUUAGGGAUCUUGCCCCCUAGAAUGGGAUUUCAGACAAUUUCUCAAGGACCAUCUACUAAAAAUUCUAUCUGCACAGCAAGCUUACUGGAAUCAAAGGGCUACUAUUAGAUGGAUCACCAAGGGUGAAACAAACUCAAAAUUCCUCAAAGUUAAAGCCACCAUCAAAUUCAGAAACAACCACAUUGAUACUCUCAAAGAUGAGUUUGGGAAUGAGCAUUCUGAACAUCAAGCCAAAGCUAAUAUCCUUUGGAGGGCUUUCAAACAAAGUCUUGGGACUUCUAUGCCCACCUUCAAUCUGCUAGGCCUAGAAAAUCUUAUUGAGAAAUCUGAUGAUCUCCAUUGGCUUGAAACCCCCUUUACUAAAACAGAGAUUGAUGCAGUGGUAAAAGAUCUUCCCUCAGAUAAAGCCCCUAGGCCAGAUGGGUUUAAUACCAACUUUGUUAAAUCUUGUUGGGACAUCAUUGCUUCAGAUUUCUACCAACUGAUUGAGGAUAUUUUAAGGGUGAAGUGGAUCUGCAGAGCAUCAAUUCCUCUUCUCUAACUAUGAUCCCCAAGAAGGAUGCUCCUAUUGAGGCUAGUUAUUUCAGACUCAUUUCACUCAUAAAUUGCUCCAUCAAUAUUAUCACAAAGUUGUUGGCUAACAGAUUGCAAAAAGUUAUUCUGAAACUUGUUCACAGAAAUCAAUAUGGUUUUCUGAAAGAGAGGUCAUUCCAGGAUUGUUUGGCAUGGGCAUAUGAAUAUUUGCAUCAACGUAAUUAGUCCAAAAGAGAAAUUAUCAUUCUCAAAUUAGAUUUUGAAAAGGCUUUUGACAUGAUUGAACAUCACACUCUGAAAAGUAUUAUGGUGGCAAAAGGUUUUGGACCUAGAUGGAUGAAAUGGAUGGACAUGAUCUUUUCUUCAGGAACUUCUGUUGUCCUCCUCAAUGGAGUACCAGGAAAGCAAUUUUGGUGCAAGAAAGGUGUGAGACAGGAGGAUCCAGUCUCUCCUUUGAUUUUUGUGCUGGCUGCUGACAUUCUGCAAUCUAUCUUCAAUGAGGCCUUGAAACAUAAGUUGAUUUCCUCUCCUCUGGACAACAACAAAGAUUUUCAUGUCAUUCAAUGUGCUGAUGACACAAUUAUUAUAUUGCCAGCAUGUCCAACACAAUUACAACAAGUUCGGGGUUGCCGGAUCAUAACACAUAGUAGGUGACAAUUGACUUGCAAGAUAGGAUCAAGAACUCACAUAUAUUCAUGAAAACAUAAUAGGUUCAAAUCUGAAAUCAUGGCACUCGGGCCCUAGUGACAAGCAUUAGGCAUAGCAAGGUCAUAGCAACAUCAAUCUUAGAACAUAGUGGGUACUAGGGAUCAAACUCUAACAAAACUAACUCGAUUACAUGAUAAAUCUCAUCCAACCCAUCACCGUCCAGCAAGCCUACGAUCGAAUUACUCACGCACGGCG
rnacentral:lncRNA from 1 species